CAAGCGUUGUUCGGAUUCACUGGGCGUAAAGGGCGCGUAGGCGGGCUAUCAAGUCCGGGGUGAAAUCCUCCAGCUCAACUGGAGAACGGCCUCGGAUACUGAUGGUCUCGAGGGGGAUAGGGGCACGCGGAACUGUGGGUGGAGCGGUGAAAUGCGUUGAUAUCCAUAGGAACUCCGGUGGCGAAAGCGGCGUGCUGGAUCCCUUCUGACGCUGAGGCGCGAAAGCCAGGGGAGCAAACGGG
rnacentral:rRNA from 1 species